GUGUCAGCAGCCGCGGUAAUACAGAGGGUGCGAGCGUUAAUCGGAAUUACUGGGCGUAAAGCGCGCGUAGGCGGCUUUGCAAGUCGGGUGUGAAAUCCCCAGGCUUAACCUGGGAACUGCAUUCGAGACUGCAUUGCUAGAGUAUGGGAGAGGGAAGUGGAAUUUCCGGUGUAGCGGUGAAAUGCGUAGAUAUCGGAAGGAACAUCAGUGGCGAAAGCGACUUCCUGGACCAAUACUGACGCUCAUGUGCGAAAGCGUGGGGAGCAAACAGGAUUAGAAACCCCCGUAGUCC
rnacentral:rRNA from 1 species